rnacentral:misc_RNA from 1 species
ACGAAAACGUAUAGUUACCGAACGACGGCCGUCGUUCCGCCGAGGCGUCGGACCCACGUGUCCGCCGUCCUCCCGGGGCGCCGGCGUCCGCGAGGAAUGC